AAGGUUGCCACAAUUCUACCAUAACAUUUUAUCUAAAAGUUGCCACCUUUCAUCAUGUCAAUUCAUUUAAAAGGUUACCGCUUUUAACAUGCCACUUUAUCUAAAAUGUCUUUUUAAAUGCCACUUUAUUUAAAAGGUUACCACUUUUCACAUGUUACUUCAUCUAAAAGUUGUUACUUUCUAUUAUGUAACUUAAUAUAAAAGUUAUCACUUUUCACAUAUCACUUUUUGUUAU
rnacentral:lncRNA from 1 species